rnacentral:lncRNA from 1 species
UCACACACGAAGAUACUUUCAAUAAAUAGCAAGCGGAAAACUUUCUAGACUUUAUACAAUAUGUCUCAAAACCAUCUAAUACAUGAAUAUAACAUUGGGACUAAGCCCACUCAAAACUUAAGCAAAUACUAGAGAGACAUAAAAAAAGGAACAUGUUGGUUAUUGCCCUCGAAUCUAUGAGGACUCACCAAGUCUUCAUCUCCAACACUUAGAAACCUAUCAAGUAGCCAUGACAUGUCACCAUCUCCAAAUCCCUACACUUUAGUCAAAAAGCGAAAGAAAGGGGUUAGCACAAUUAAGUACCAAGUAUGGAGACCAUGCAAGAAAAUAUGCACAACGGACAUUUACAAGAAAUGUAUGCUUUCAUAUCCUUUGAUAAAACCUUUCC